rnacentral:tRNA from 1 species
GGAAGUAUAGCUCAGUGGUAGAGCACAUGCCAAGCAUGCAGAAGUCCUGUGUUCAAUUCCCAGUACCUCUA